AUGAAGGCAAGGGGUGCUUCCUCAAGAGCAAAGAGCUUGGUGCCAGUGAAGGUGAGUGGAGGGGCCUAUGACUUUAAGGAGGACUUGGAAAAGGCAACAGAGGAUCUGGAGAAGGUAGAAGAGGAAAAGGGUGGUGAAGAAGAAGAAGGAGAGGGAGAGCUUGGUGAAGAGAUUUUCACCUGUGUGGAAUGUAGCAUUUACUUCAAGAAGCAGGUCUACCUGCAGGAUCACAUGCAUGAGCACAGUCAGAGCAGGCCGGGGGCUGGCAGGAGGGAGCGCGGCGUGAAAGGCGCACGAUUUCGGUGCGUGGAGUGUGGAUGGAACCUGUCAAACAGGCUGGCUCUGGCGGACCACAACAGACGACACCAGGAGUCUCGUCAGAAGAUCCUGGAGGAGAUUGGGAAGCUGAGUGACAGUGGGAAAGGAGAGACUACACAGGGUGAGCCGAGCAAGGUGACCAAACCUGCAAGCCCAGUCCUAGAACCCUUUGUAGCUCCAGUCACAACUCCAGCUCUAGUCCCAUUCACAGAGCCAGUCCCAGCUCCAUUCACAGAGCCAGAUCCAGCUCCAUUCACAGAGCCAGAUCCAGCUCCAUUCACAGAGCCAGAUCCAGCUCUAUUCACAGAGCCAGAUCCAGCUCCAAUCACAGAGCCAGAUCCAGUUCCAGUUCGGGCCCCAGUCAAAGCUCGAGCCAAAACCCCAGUCAAAGCAAAGGUCAAAGGCCCAGCCAAUCGUCGCUAUCUCUGCCUCAAGUGUGACUUCAGUACACGCACCUCACAGGCAUUGGCCAACCAUGCCAAGACCCACAACAGAAGACCUACUGGUCUGCAGCGAGCCUCUCCACGCUUUCAGCCAAAGCUCACUCCUAUGGAGCUGCCUGUGUCACCUGGAUCUGCCUCUGGCCUGACCUCCAUCUCUCUCACUUGUGAUCAGUGUGCCUUCCAGGCCUCCAGUCAAACUGUUCUAAAGGAGCACCAACACGUGGCUCACCCUGCGCAGACCUCCAUCUGUGGGGAAGGGCCUGAAGAGAUUAACCGUCCAGGGUCCAGAAUUGAUGCCUCCUCUCAACCAUGUUCUGAUAAGCUUUCUAAGCCUGUCUCUCCACCAGAGGGCCAAAGCCAGUCAAAGGCCAGUAAGUCUUCCUCUAGUUGGAUCUCUGCUAUGGAGGACAGUGACACACAGCCCCAACCAUCAAACACUGCUACAGCUCCCCAGCGUAGAGAGUUAGCCUUUAAGACCAUCGGGAACAAGAGGGCAAAUAGGAGAGGGAAGGCGGGGACAGAACUCCUCCGGCCAAAUCCCAGACUGGACAGCGGUCCACCUGAGACCGAUGAUGCACAAAGACAGCGCCAGAGCCCUGACCUGGCAACCGAUAUGAACCAAAAAGAGACUGAAUCACUUGUUGGAUCCAAACCGCUCACCAGGGCUCGAUCCCUCCGAGGUGAGACUAAGCUGCAGAACCUAUCCCCUCAAGCCUUCUCGAAUACAGUUGAAAGAAGCCAAUACCUUAGACUUUCUUUAGAGUCUCACCUAUUAAACUGCUCUCAUGCUAAUUCUGAGAAAAACCUUUCAUCAUUAAUGGUCUGA
rnacentral:lncRNA from 13 species